rnacentral:sRNA from 1 species
GCUAGGCGUGGUGGUUCAUGCCUGUAAUCCCAGCGACUCCGGAGGCUGAGGCAGGAGGAUCACCAGUUCAAAGCCAGCCUCAGCAACAGUGAGGUGCUAAGCAAUUCAGUGAGACCCUGUCUCUA